CCUCUCUCGCGCUCUCUCGCUCUCCCUCACUGCCCACCUAUGUCUCUCUCCCAGCUGAGAGGGGUGGAGGCUGACGGCCGAUGCUUUUUCAGCGGAGAGGGGAUGGAGGAAAGGGGGAAUUAGUGGCUCCUCUUCACUCGGUCUUCGCAACAGCGUCCCAGUAAUCAGAGACCAGCAGCCUCAGCGGAGAUUUUUCAUGGGAACGAAACGGCUUAAAAUGAGCCGGGGAGUGAUCGCUGAUCUGCUGCACAAGGCUUGAAUCCACCGAGAAACCCCAUGGAGCAGGAUGUGGAGAGCCCAAUAAUCAGAAAGCCCAAGUUGCCAAAGCAGGCCAGAGAGGACCUGCCUAAACACCUGGCAGAAAUCGACCGGGCGAAAAAGAUCCAGCGGUAUGUCCAGAAAGACGGGAAGUGCAACGUCCAUCAUGGAAACGUUCGAGAGACAUACCGCUAUCUGACAGACAUUUUUACCACACUGGUAGAUCUCAAAUGGAGGUUUAACCUCUUCAUCUUUGUGUUGGUGUACACGGUGACAUGGCUCUUCUUUGGCUUCAUGUGGUGGCUUAUUGCCUACCUCCGGGGUGAUCUGGACCAUAUAGCAGACAACCAGUGGACUCCGUGCGUCAAUAACCUCAACGGGUUUGUAUCAGCGUUUCUGUUCUCCAUUGAAACAGAGACCACCAUUGGUUAUGGAUACAGAGUGAUCACGGACAAAUGCCCCGAGGGAAUAGUGCUGCUUUUAGUUCAGUCAGUGCUGGGAUCUAUCGUGAAUGCCUUCAUGGUGGGUUGCAUGUUUGUUAAGAUCUCGCAGCCCAAGAAACGGGCUGAGACACUAGUGUUUUCCACCAAUGCAGUCAUCUCCAUGAGAGAUGGUCGGCUGUGCCUGAUGUUCAGAGUUGGAGACCUCCGAAACUCACACAUCGUCGAGGCUUCAAUCAGGGCCAAGCUUAUCAAGUCUAAGCAGACCAAGGAGGGGGAGUUCAUCCCUUUGAACCAGACAGAUAUAAACGUGGGUUACAACACAGGAGAUGACAGGCUCUUCCUGGUAUCGCCACUCAUCAUCUGCCAUGAGAUCAAUCAAAACAGCCCCUUCUGGGAUAUCUCACAGGCCCACCUGGCCAAGGAAGAGCUGGAAAUUGUUGUGAUCCUCGAGGGGAUGGUGGAGGCCACAGGUAUGACCUGCCAGGCAAGGAGCUCCUACGUCAGCAGUGAGAUCAAGUGGGGCUACCGCUUCACACCCGUCCUGACGCUGGAGGACGGCUUCUACGAGGUGGACUACAACAGCUUCCACGACAUCUACGAAACUGACACACCCACCUGCAGUGCCAAAGACCUCGCUGAUAUGGCCAACCGCGCCCGCUUGCCCCUAACUUGGUCGCUGGCUAGCAAGCUGAGUCAGCAGGGGCUGCCAGAGUCUGAACAGGAGGGUCCGGAGACCAAAACCAACCUGGAGGACCAGGGGAAGAGUGAGAAGACCGAGAGGAACGGGGACAUUGCCAAUUUAGAGAGUGAGUCCAAAGUGUAGCGAGCGUGGCAAGAGGCAAGCGUGAGGUCGAAACAAGAUUAAUGGACUGUACUGUAGGUCUCCCGCCGAGGAAGGCCACCCAAUGAGGACCAAUGAGCACAGUAGACCAAGUACCCCUGCACCACGAACCGCUUCUUUCUCAGUGAUUUACAUUUACCCCAAAAACGAGAAAACACGUAGACAUGUGGCCCACCGCUGGAGUGAAAACCCCCUGCGGCAAGUGCAUGUUUCAAAUAUAAUGUGAUGUCCUCCUGACAAGAUUCCUAUUAUUUUUUCUAUUAAGAUAUUCCUAGGGGCAUUUGCUAAGUAUUUUUGUAUAUACUACAAAAUGUUUUAAAUUCUUUGUUUUGUUGCAGUGUGAAUAUUUGACACAUGUUUGAUACUACUUCCUUUAGGUUAGUUCUGUAUAUAUUCUCUGCCUUACUGUAUGUAUAAAGCUUUCAUUAUUUGUUUUUCAGGAAUAUAUAAGCAUGUAUAAACAUUAUCUGCAGUUGAUUUAUCUUGUAUUCUGUAUAUACUGUAUGAUGAUAUUAUUAUUAUUAUUAUUAUUAUUAUUAUUAUUAUAAGGAAAACAUACAGUUCAAUGGAUGCAAACUCUAGUUUAAACCAAUGAAAGAUUCUUCCCCAAUGAUAAGUGUUUGUUUAAAGUAGUACUACACGAAGCCAUGACUUGCUGUUUACAGCUGACUGACUUCAGACAAUGGCCCUUUAAAAACUGCAUUUUGUCACUUUUGCACACUGGAGUCUUCUGAUGAAGGUUAGUGGCUGUUUGAGUCUCCAGAAAUAACUCACCUGUCACCUAAAAGUAUCAAUAAAUAAACACGCAUCGUGAUCUGCGUCCUGAUUGGCUGUAGACCAUUGUCAAUGAAUCUCCUCGGCGCAGUGUCUCCUGUACGGCACUUCCGGUGGCACCCAAAAGGCAGAGGAAGAUGCUAACCAUGGCACAAAAAAGUUGGACUUCUGGACAUGCUAAAGGAAGUUGGAGCCAGGAGGCUGCACGAAGACCAAAGAGCUGAACAUGACAGAAAAACAACUUCUCUGUAAGAAGAGGAAACAAAAAGUAAAGGAUUGACAUCAAGCUCAGAAAACAGAGAAAAGAAACUAGUGAUGGACUUCAAAAUAAACUGUAUCGUCCAAGCUUUGAAGAAUAACCACAAAACAAGUGUGACAGCACAACAAUCAACAGCCUCAAAAACGUGGAGAUUCAAAAUGAAAAAGUUUGUGUUGUGCACCCAAAAAAUGGCCUUGAAGCAAAGUUAUGAGACAGAUGAGAGCAUAAAUCCAACCUUUGCCAAAGUCAGGGAAAGCCAACAGUGUGAAGAAAACCACAAAGUGCCCUUGACUCAAAUCAUUUCCGCUCCUCAGCGAAGCACACAGCAGCGAAAACCGUCAUCCUCGGCAGACUCGGAUAAUUCAUUUUCACUGACAGAGGAACAGAUGACGGCGGGGGGAGCAGCAGGUGUUGUUUAGAAGUGUAAAGAUUAUUUUGGCAGGACGUUCAUCCUGCAACAAGACAGUGACACCCCCCCCCCCCCCAGCCACACCGAGGUGCAACCAAAGCUUUUAUCAGCCUCAGUCUUAAAUAAAGUGUCCACUUCAGGCUCCAGAUUUAAACCCUACUGAACAUUUUCUCUGCAGCAAAGGAGAGCGAAGGUAAACGUCACUGGAAGGUGUUCUAAAAAACAAAAAACGUCCAAAAAACUUUUCCUUCUUUUGACAUACAUCUGUUCACUUGCACAUGUGGAAAAGCUGACUUUGACCACAAACUGGCAACAAAACAUAAGAUUUGACUGUCCCGAGACAGUAAGAUAAUUUGUAGAUGUACUUUGAAUUCAUAUUUUAGUUUCAUAUUUCAUGGUUAUAUUAACUGUUUAGUUUCUGUUUACUGCAGCUCUAAUUCUCACCAUGACUACAAAAAAGCACUGAGUUGCUGCUGUGUGAUUGGCUGAUGAUUUGCAUUAAGGAGCAGAUAACGAAGUGUACAGUGUAUUUCUGCUCCUGUCCACAGACUAGACAAAGUCUGGUGUGUUAAAAUCAUUGUUGUUUUUUUCCUAAUAACCUUUUUAAUGUGUGAAGUUUUUCCCUUUACCUGAUGAUGGACAGCCUGUUUUUUAACCGCACAUACUGACACUGGCAGCUCGUUGCCUGCAGUGUGACCCAUAAUUAAAAGAGAAUUUUAUUUGUUU